UACGAAGGGGGCUAGCGUUGCUCGGAAUCACUGGGCGUAAAGCGUACGUAGGCGGCUUUGUAAGUUAGAGGUGAAAGCCCGGGGCUCAACCCCGGAAUUGCCUUUAAGACUGCAUCGCUUGAACGUCGGAGAGGUGAGUGGAAUUCCGAGUGUAGAGGUGAAAUUCGUAGAUAUUCGGAAGAACACCAGUGGCGAAGGCGGCUCACUGGACGACUGUUGACGCUGAGGUACGAAAGCGUGGGGAGCAAACAGG
rnacentral:rRNA from 1 species